rnacentral:rRNA from 1 species
AANUNGCAAGGNGCUGCANGGCUGUCGUCAGCUCGNGCCGUGAGGUGUUGGGUUAAGUCCCGCAACGAGCGCAACCCCCAUCUUUAGUUGCUAGCAGGUAAUGCUGAGGACUCUAAAGAAACUGCCUACGCAAGUAGUGAGGAAGGCGGGGANGACGUCAAGUCAUCACGGCCCUUACGUCCUGGGCCACACACGUGCUACAAUGGUUGGUACAGAGGGCAGNUACUGGGUGACCAGAUGCGAAUCUCUAAAGCCAAUNUCAGUUCGGAUUGGAGUCUGCAACUCGACUNUAUGAAGCUGGAAUCGCUAGUAAUCGCGCAUCAGCCAUGGCGCGGUGAAUACGUUCCCGGGCCUUGUACACACCGCCCGUCAAACAAUGGAAGCUGGGGGUGCCUGAAGUCGGUAACCGCAA